GUGUAAUUAGGUAUCAGAUUGGUGUGAGCCAGAGUCUGCCGUGUCUUAGGACACACAGUAAGCCCAAGUUCAAUCCAGUUUUUAAUGAAUGCUCGCUCAUAGGUUUGCCCUGAUGCCACAAUCACCGGAUCAGUCAUCAACUCAAGAGAAAGAGGACAGCAAAAAUCAGCAGGUAUUGGGACUGGGCUAUUGGUCUGAGACUGUUUUAUCAGAACAAGAUGAUCAUGCAUGCGAGUGACAAGAAAAAUCAUUUGAUCAAAUAACUCAGCCUCCCUGGUGUUUUCAGCUUGUUCAGCAUUCUCCUUCAACUUCUCAAGGGCCACUGCUUCAAUGAGAAUCUCCUGAUUGGACCUCAAGCUUAAGCCCUCUGCAAUUUUCACCAGGAUCUCUGAGCUGGAUCCAUCACUCUCCACCUGGUCCCUUAUAGCUUCCCUAACAAUAGAUGAUAUUUGUUCAUAUCCCAUUUGCUUAAUUUUUUGUGAGCAGUACUCAAGAGAUGAUGAACUUAAUUCAUCAGGGAAAUGUUCAUGGGAAGACUUCAACAGCUGAAANCAUAUCCAGACCCAAAGUCCUGAUCUUUGAUAUUAAUGAUUCAGUUUGCAGAACAAAAUAAACUUUACUCGACAAUGGUUGCCAGUUUUCAAAGAGUUCCCUCAGUUCAUCAACAGACUGGCCCAAUUCAUGAAAUGCCUUAUUAAG
rnacentral:misc_RNA from 1 species